rnacentral:rRNA from 1 species
ACGAACGCUGGCGGCAUGCCUAACACAUGCAAGUCGAACGAGACCUUCGGGUCUAGUGGCGCACGGGUGCGUCACGCGUGGGAACCUGCCCUUAGGUUCGGAAUAACUCCCCGUAAGGGGUGCUAAUACCGGAUAAUGUCUUCGGACCAAAGAUUUAUCGCCUUUGGAUGGGCCCGCGUUGGAUUAGCUAGUUGGUAGGGUAAAAGCCUACCAAGGCGACGAUCCAUAGCUGGUCUGAGUGCAUGAUCAGCUACACUGGGACUGAGACACGGCCCAGACUGCUACGGGAGGCAGCAGUGGAGAGUAUUGGACAAUGGGCGAAAGCCUGAUCCAGCAAUGCGGCGUAAGUGAUGAAGGCCUUAGGGUUGUAAUGCUGUUUUACCCGGGAUGAUAAUGACAGUACCGGGAGAAUAAGCUCCGGCUAACUCCGUG